rnacentral:tRNA from 1 species
CGGCGAUCCUGGCGAACGUCGCGCCCGGGCCGCUGCGGGUGGCCUGCAAUGCCUCGCUGUCGUUCGACGUGUCGGUGGCCGA